GUCGGACUUACCUUUGGAAACUUCCCAUGAAGUAGUGCUUUCUUCUUUGCUAAAGAGAAUGUCAAACCUGCAAACAAGCCAUUCAAGCAAAGAGUCUAUUCUGAGCCCUUUUCAUGUACAGGGUAUUCUCUUGAUUAACGCCUUUUCCGCUCUCAUUCCUGGCUUGGCUUUCCUUUUUGUCUUGACUCUAUCCCUUCCAGCUGUCUUGGCUUUCCUUUUUGUCUUGAUUCUAUGCCUUCCAGCUGUCUUGGUGAAGACUGUGGUAGUGGUAUCGGUUCUUUGCUGGGUUGAUUGAAUAUCUCUUUUGCUUGCUUCUUUGCGGUAGAAAGACCGAGGGCAAGAUCUCUUUAUAU
rnacentral:lncRNA from 1 species